rnacentral:rRNA from 1 species
AGAGUUUGAUCCUGGCUCAGAGUGAACGCUGGCGGCGUGCUUAACACAUGCAAGUCGAACGAGAACAGGAGAGAGCUUGCUUUCUUGCUGCUAAGUGGCGCACGGGUGAGUAAUAUAUAGGUAAUAUGCCUCUUACUAAGGGAUAAUUGAUGGAAACGUCUUGUAAUACCUUAUAUGCCUUUUGAACAUAAGUUCGUAAAGGGAAAGAUUUAUCGGUAAGAGAUUAGCCUGUAUGGUAUCAGUUUGUUGGUGGGGUAAUGGCCUACCAAGACUAUGACACCUAACUGGUUUGAGAGGAUGAUCAGUCACACUGGAACUGAGACACGGUCCAGACUCCUACGGGAGGCAGCAGUGGGGAAUAUUGCACAAUGGACGAAAGUCUGAUGCAGCAACGCCGCGUGGAGGAUGACACAUUUCGGUGCGUAAACUCCUUUUAUAUGAGAAGAUAAUGACGGUAUCAUAUGAAUAAGCACCGGCUAACUCCGUGCCAGCAGCCGCGGUAAUACGGGGGGUGCAAGCGUUACUCGGAAUCACUGGGCGUAAAGAGCAUGUAGGCGGGUAAAUAAGUUGGAAGUGAAAUCCUAUAGCUUAACUAUAGAACUGCUUCCAAAACUGUUUACCUAGAGUAUGGGANAGGUAGAUGGAAUUUCUGGUGUAGGGGUAAAAUCCGUAGAGAUCANAAGGAAUACCGAUUGCGAAGGCGAUCUACUGGAAACAUUACUGACGCUCACAUGCGAAAGCGUGGGGAGCAAACAGGAAUUAGAUACCCUGGUANGUCCACGCCCNNAAACCAAUGUACCACUAAGUUGUUGCUANACUA